AUUGAACGCUGGCGGCAUGCUUUACACAUGCAAGUCGAACGGUAACAGGCCGCAAGGUGCUGACGAGUGGCGAACGGGUGAGUAAUGCAUCGGAACGUGCCCAGUCGUGGGGGAUAACGCAGCGAAAGCUGCGCUAAUACCGCAUACGAUCUAUGGAUGAAAGCGGGGGACCGUAAGGCCUCGCGCGAUUGGAGCGGCCGAUGUUAGAUUAGGGAGUUGGUGGGGUAAAGGCUCACCAAGCCAACGAGCUGUAGCUGGUCUGAGCGGACGACCAGCCACACUGGGACGGAGACACGGCCCAGACUCCUACGGGAGGCAGCAGUGGGGAGUUUUGGACGAUGGGCGCAAGCCUGAUCCAGCAAUGCCGCGUGCAGGAAGAAGGCCUUCGGGUUGUAAACUGCUUUUGUACGGAACGAAACGGUCCGGGUUAAUACCCUGGGCUAAUGACGGUACCGUAAGAAUAAGCACCGGCUAACUACGUGCCAGCAGCCGCCGUAAGAC
rnacentral:rRNA from 1 species